UGCAAGUCGAGGGGCAGCAUGAAGUAGCAAUACUUUGAUGGCGACCGGCAAACGGGUGCGGAACACGUACACAACCUUCCUUUAAGUGGGGAAUAGCCCAGAGAAAUUUGGAUUAAUACCCCGUAACAUUGCGAUGUGGCAUCACAUUGCAAUUAUAGCUUCGGCGCUUAAUGAUGGGUGUGCGUAUGAUUAGAUAGUUGGCGAGGUAACGGCUCACCAAGUCUACGAUCAUUAGCUGAUGUGAGAGCAUGAUCAGCCACACGGGCACUGAGACACGGGCCCGACUCAUACGGGAGGCAGCAGUAAGGAAUAUUGGUCAAUGGACGCAAGUCUGAACCAGCCAUGCCGCGUGAAGGAUUAAGGUCCUCUGGAUUGUAAACUUCUUUCAUAUGGGACGAAAAACAGAUCUUUCUAGAUCCUUUGACGGUACCAUAUGAAUAAGCACCG
rnacentral:rRNA from 1 species